GAAGACGGCCAUAGCAAAGGGGAAACACCUGGUCCCAUUCCGAACCCAGAAGUUAAGCUCUUUGCGUUGAUGGUUAUAGUUUCGAAAAGAAGCUAAGUCAUUAAGCUGUCUUCU
rnacentral:rRNA from 1 species